CGCCGGCCACGGUGCCAUCAGCCAGUCAGCCUUGGCUGUGCGGUGAAGGGAAAGUAGAGCUAGCAAGACUGGUUGCUGUGGGAAAACUGGGUCAGUGGGACUGGGGUUGCAUACACGAAAUCGCAUGGGAUACCAGUUUGUCUGGCACAGAAGGUGAACCUGGGUGAUUGGACUGACGGCAUCACGUGAGGAAGUAGUGGGAUCCCUUGGACAACUUUAAGGCCCUCAGUCGGGCCAGUAUUAUCCAUAUACAAAAGUGCCGGGGUUGAUUCGCUGCCAAGGACACAGGAGGUGUUGUUCCCUUCUGAUUCUGGGAAUUCUCCAGACAAGACUUCCGGAAAUGCUUUCUGGAGAUUUAAAGCAAGCUUAUUGAACUUGUGCCCUACGAGGUGAACGUGACAGGCUCCUGGGAAUCAGAGAUCUCGAUGGACACCUUAACGCUGCAGCCGUUGUCCCCGCCCCCGUCCCUCUGG